rnacentral:rRNA from 1 species
AAGUUAAUUUAAUAAAACUUUCAACAACGGAUCUCUUGGUUCUGGCAUCGAUGAAGAACGCAGCGAAAUGCGAUAAGUAAUGUGAAUUGCAGAAUUCAGUGAAUCAUCGAAUCUUUGAACGCACAUUGCGCCCCCUGGUAUUCCGGGGGGCAUGCCUG